GAUGAACGCUGGCGGCGUGCCUAAAACAUGCAAGUCGAACGCUGGAAAUCUAGCUUGCUAGAUUGAAGGAGUGGCGAACGGGUGAGUAAUACAUAAGCAACCUACCCACGAAGACUGGGAUAAUCUCUGGAAACGGGGACUAAUACCGGAUAGGUAAUCGGAAGGCAUCUUCUGAUUAUUAAAGGUUAAAAACACUGGUGGAUGGGCUUAUGGCGCAUUAGUUAGUUGGUGAGGUAACGGCCCACCAAGACGAUGAUGCGUAGCCGGCCUGAGAGGGUGAACGGCCACAUUGGGACUGAGACACGGCCCAGACUCCUACGGGAGGCAGCAGUAGGGAAUUUUCGGCAAUGGGGGAAACCCUGACCGAGCAACGCCGCGUGAGUGAUGACGGCCUUCGGGUUGUAAAGCUCUGUUGUAAGGGAAGAACGGUAGAUAGAGAAUAUCUAAAUGACGGUACCUUACCAGAAAGCCACGGCUAACUACGUG
rnacentral:rRNA from 1 species